UACGAAGGGGGCUAGCGUUGUUCGGAAUUACUGGGCGUAAAGCGCGCGCAGGCGGUUCUCCAAGUCAGUGGUGAAAGCCCGGAGCUCAACUCCGGAAUUGCCAUUGAAACUGUUGAACUUGAGGACGAGAGAGGUGAGUGGAAUUCCCAGUGUAGAGGUGAAAUUCGUAGAUAUUGGGAAGAACACCGGUGGCGAAGGCGGCUCACUGGCUCGUUUCUGACGCUCAGGCGCGACAGCGUGGGGAUCAAACAAGG
rnacentral:rRNA from 1 species